UUCGCCUUCAUGAAGCCGGAAUUGCUAGUAAUGGCAGGUCAGCAUACUGCCGUGAAUACGUUCCCGGGCCUUGUACACACCGCCCGUCACACCAUGAGAGUUGGGAAUACCCGAAGCCUGUGAGCUAACUUUACGAGGCAGCAGUCGAAGGUAGAAUCAAUGAUUGGGGUGAAGUCGUAACAAGGUAAC
rnacentral:rRNA from 1 species